rnacentral:rRNA from 1 species
GGGAAUAUUGCACAAUGGGCGCAAGCCUGAUGCAGCGACGCCGCGUGGGGGAUGACGGCCUUCGGGUUGUAAACUCCUUUCGCUAGGGACGAAGCUUUUUGUGACGGUACCUAGAUACGAAGCACCGGCUAACUACGUGCCCGCAGCCGCGGUAAUACGUAGGGUGCGAGCGUUGUCCGGAAUUACUGGGCGUAAAGGGCUCGUAGGUGGUUUGUCGCGUCGUCUGUGAAAUUCCGGGGCUUAACUCCGGGCGUGCAGGCGAUACGGGCAUAACUUGAGUACUGUAGGGGUAACUGGAAUUCCUGGUGUAGCGGUGAAAUGCGCAGAUAUCAGGAGGAACACCGAUGGCGAAGGCAGGUUACUGGGCAGUUACUGACGCUGAGGAGCGAAAGCAUGGGUAGCGAACAGG